rnacentral:piRNA from 1 species
UGAAAGAAGACCUGCACAUCUACCUUGCUC